UACGGGGGGGGGCAAGCGUUGUUCGGAAUUACUGGGCGUAAAGGGCUCGUAGGCGGCCAACUAAGUCAGACGUGAAAUCCCUCGGCUUAACCGGGGAACUGCGUCUGAUACUGGAUGGCUUGAGUUUGGGAGAGGGAUGCGGAAUUCCAGGUGUAGCGGUGAAAUGCGUAGAUAUCUGGAGGAACACCGGUGGCGAAGGCGGCAUCCUGGACCAACACUGACGCUGAGUGAGCGAAAAGCCAGGGGAGCAAACGGG
rnacentral:rRNA from 1 species